UAUGAAUGGGAACAGCAAGAUGGCAAA
rnacentral:piRNA from 1 species